AGGCAGGAGAUGGAGAUGGCAUGGAGGAGGAAAAAAGAGGAUGGGGAUGGAGACACGAAAGGGGAGGCGGGGCACAUGCAGGAGGGGGGCAUAGGAGUGGGGGUUGUAGGCAUGGAUGGAGACCUUGGAGGGUUAUGAUGGUUCUAGAGGUAAGGCAGCUCGGGGGGACAACAAGGGGAGCAAUAGUGGGACACUUAGUUG
rnacentral:lncRNA from 1 species